rnacentral:rRNA from 1 species
GACGAACGCUGGCGGCGUGCUUAACACAUGCAAGUCGAACGGUGAAGCGCCUUCCUUUUUGGUGGACGGGGGAGAGUGGCGAACGGGUGAGGAACACGUGAGUAACCUACCCCUUCGUUCGGGAUAACCGCAUGAAAGUUUCGCUAAUACCGGAUAUUCCGGGUCUGUGGCAUGAUGGGUCUGGGUAAGAUUUCGUUUCGGUGGGGGAUGGGGUCGGGGCCUAUCAGGUUGGUGGUGGGGUGAUGGCCUACCAAGGCGGGGCCGGGUAGCCGGGCUGAGAGGGUCGGCGGGCAUGGUGGGACAGAGAGGCACCGAGGACUGCGACGGGCGGCAGCGGGGGGGAAUAGUGAACAAUGGGCGCCAGGCUGCGGCAGCGACGCGGCGGGAGGGAGGGAGGCCGUCGGGUUUUGACCCUCUGUCGCCAGUGAAACAGGGCUGGAUCGUCUGUGGGUGGGUUGACGGUAGCUGGAGAAGAAGCGCCGGCUAACUACGUG